rnacentral:rRNA from 1 species
GAUGAACGCUAGCGGCAGGCUUAACACAUGCAAGUCGAGGGGCAGCACGAUGUAGCAAUACAUGGGUGGCGACCGGCGCACGGGUGCGUAACACGUAUGGAAUCUGCCCUGUACUGGGGGAUAGCCCUCCGAAAGGAGGAUUAAUACCCCAUAAUAACUUGAGUGGCAUCACUUGGGUUUGAAAGCUCCGGCGGUACAGGAUGACCAUGCGCACGAUUAGCUAGUAGGUGAGGUAACGGCUCACCUAGGCUACGAUCGUUAGGGGGCCUGAGAGGGUUAUCCACCACACUGGUACUGAGACACGGACCAGACUCCUACGGGAGGCAGCAGUGAGGAAUAUUGCGCAAUGGAGGCAACUCUGACGCAGCCAUGCCGCGUUCAGGAAGAAGGCGCUACGCGUUGUAAACUGCUUUUAACCGGGAAGAAACCCCAGGACGUGUCCUGGGUUGACGGUACCGGAGGAAUAAGGAUCGGCUAACUCCGUGCCAGCCGCCGCCGUAAAAC